UACGUAGGGGGCAAGCGUUGUUCGGAAUGACUGGGCGUAAAGGGUGCGUAGGCGGUGUAGCAAGUUAGAAGUGAAAUACCUAGGGCUUAACUCAGGUGCUGCUUCUAAAACUGCUAUACUUGAGUGCAGUAGAGGAAAGUGGAAUUCCUAGUGUAGCGGUGGAAUGCGUAGAUAUUAGGAGGAACAUCAGUGGCGAAGGCGACUUUCUGGACUGUAACUGACGCUGAGGCACGAAAGUGUGGGGAGCAAACAGG
rnacentral:rRNA from 1 species